UUACGGGUUUGAAACGACAUGGGGGUAAGUGAUUAAUGACAACAUUUUUAUUUUGGGGUGGAGUAACCCUUUAAUAGGCAGCCUGCGGACCACAUCCGGCCCAUGACAGAAAAAUAUUUGGCCUACACUAAUGUUAAAUAAUGUGGCAUGAUAAUACAAACGCAGCAUCAGAAAGCGACAUUAACUUGCAACGUGUCUACACUGGAUGCAAGCUGCGAGACGCAACAAAAUACAAUAGAACCCAUUAUAAUCAGUGAUGCUGUCAAUAUUGGAUGCAGCGCAGUGUGACGAUUCUCCAACAGUAAACUGCUGCCGACAAUAAACUGCUGUAUGUCAGUGGCCCUUGGCUUGGUAAUUCGGACCCCUGCAAAAAUAAAUUGAGGAAGCCUGGUCACAGUGCUUAUCAAGUGAGAGAGAUUUUAUGAGACAGGCCUGUAAAAACAAGUGAAGAAAUAGAGCAGCAAGACACAACCUAGAAUCCAAGACUCUAGAAGCAGUGUGGCCACACUAUAAAAAUCUUAUUUGCUUUGUAAACAUAAUUUCCAGAGAAAAUGAGGGACAUUCCAAAUGUACUGUUGAAAUUCUAACCGGUACCUCUGACUGUUUUGAUUGUAAAGCUUUGUGUAAAGUGUAAAGUACAGUUAAUAAAAUAAUCAUUUACCUUCUGGGUUGACUGAUUAUCCUUCAUUGUAAUUUAAUUUAAAUUUAUAACAGUGCACAACAGCAGACACACUGAUGGGGAUGAACGACUCCUUUGUCUUGCUAUGGGACAUUUUAUAGCUGGCUAUUCAUGGGUAGAACAAUGACAAAUCUACACAUUAGUCAUUAUUAAAUGAUGUAAGUAGGGAAUUAAGUUCUUUUGAAAGGUUUGUGACCUUCAUAACAAAAAGGAAAAAUACAAUCAGAUGUUUUAAACAAAUCAAUUCCUGGGACCUAAAAGUGAUUGUAUAGACUUCUGUAGAUUUCUCUACAUACUUGAAUACAUGCACUUCCACACAGCCAGUUUGUAGUGUCAGUUCUUUCAAGUUCUUUUCCUUUUUCAAGUCUUAAAGACCAGCGGUUUACUCUAUAAACACUUCGGUGUGUUUUCAUUUCUUUAUCAUUACAUCAGAUGUGUGGUUUUGAGAUCCAUCCAGUUCAGAACAAGAUUCCUCAGCAUCUCUAAAGCCUGAAUCCGGAAUUAUUCAAGGCAAAGACAGGUAAGAUAUUUAGUAUAGGUAUAGGUACCUCUGGGUUAAAUACAGACAAACUCAUUUGUCAUCUUCUCCUUCAGGGCUGAGGUGUUGUGUGGACAUGUCUGACCUGCAGAUCAGGAUAACUGCAGAAAUGUUUAAACUGAUGCAGGUUAGCAGAUCUCUAGUCAGAUCCUUCAAUGUGAGAAACCCCAACAGUCCCUGGAGUAUGUGAAAAAUGAAGCACUCAUGCAGCAGAAGUCCAGAAGAACACCCAAACAGCCUCAGAGUUGUGUAAACAUGAAACACAGAAAAGAAGGAAGAAGUAUCUGAAUGAAGUCUGAAUGUGGAUUCAAAUAAACAUCUGGGGAGUGGUCCAGACUCAGUGUCUUUGGCUCUCUAUGAUGGUUUUUACCACCAAAGUGUUGCAAAAGGCUGCGGCUAGUGCUGUGGCCUUCAGAUGGUGACUGUAUCUUAUUGUUCAAGAGUUGAGAGAAAGUAUGUCUACUCUUUCAGUCAAUUUUUUUUUGUGUGUGAAUUAUCUGUUGACAUAUGCCUGUGUGUACAUGCGGACAAAACGUCUUCUGAAAUUCAGAAUGUGUCUAUCGCUCAUGACUGCGGUUGGUAUGUGACAGCCAAGCAAGCAGUUACAAGUAUUUGUCAGUUACUUGAAAAAAUAAUAUUUAAUCAUGUCUGAAUUGGAAUAAAGUCGCCUUUAACUUUAGCUCUGUUCCAAAACCUAUUGACCUAUCUCAAAUAUCAAUCUCCACCUUAUGAUUCUAACAGAGACAAUGUGAGGAGAACAACAUGGUUGUCUUAAAAAGCAUAACUUA